rnacentral:rRNA from 1 species
UACGUAGGUCCCGAGCGUUGUCCGGAUUUAUUGGGCGUAAAGCGAGCGCAGGUGGUUUAUUAAGUCUGGUGUAAAAGGCAGUGGCUCAACCAUUGUAUGCAUUGGAAACUGGUAGACUUGAGUGCAGGAGAGGAGAGUGGAAUUCCUAGUGUAGCGGUGAAAUGCGUAGAGAUUAGGAAGAACACCAGUGGCGAAGGCGAUUCUCUGGACUGUAACUGACGCUGAGGCUCGAAAGCGUGGGGAGCAAACAGG